rnacentral:rRNA from 1 species
UCAGGUGCCUAUAGCGUUGGUGUCCACCUCUUCCCAUUCCGAACAGAGCAGUUAAGCCCAACAGCGCCGAUGGUACUGCGGUAAAACGUGGGAGAGUAGGUCGGUGCCGAUC